AGGCGAGGCUGGAAAGUAGCUGCUUUAGGUUGAGAGCUAUUCGCAUCCAAAGGGUUGAGCAGUGCCAUGGGUUCCUGUUAGUGCCCCCCGUGGGGCACCGGGAGCGCUGUUGCUCGUACUGCAGCCAUUACAAGCCCGCAAAAUAUCCUGGUGUUACAGAGCCGGCAGCUUCUGUUCCAGGCCCCUUCAUAGAUGUGCACUGUCUCCCGUCAUAGCUGAGCGCGGUCUCAAAAAUGUCGGAUGGAUCCCAAAAGUGAUGUGAAAAAUCAGCCGUGGCUUGCAGAAAACAGCUUGGAAAUGUGAUUUUCAGUUCACACAGGAGCUGUGAGCCUGCUGAUGGACAGAGGAUAUCGGGAAUGUGCUGCAUCUUUAUCUGUCAGUGUAGAAAGAGCUAUACCACACAGCUUUACUCAGCUUAAAGAGACCAGACUUUGCAAGUUUGGCAUAGGAAAGAAACUGUGCUAGAGUAUGCAAAUCAAACCUUUAGAACUAAAAUUCCAGCAACAACAGUUUUUCAAGAUGUUUUGCAUAUUAUUUUCUAAUUUAUUUUAUUUUAUUAUGUUUUUCAAUAGUUAAACCACUUUUUACAGUAUUUCUGGGCACCUGUGUUUUCUUUGCUGUUUAAUAAAACUCCAAAGUGGUCA
rnacentral:lncRNA from 1 species